GGGUGAAUAUUUGGAGCGCUAAAUUUGUCAGUUUUCAUCGGGAGAAUAUACUUAUUUUUUCGAAUUUUGAGGCUAUAUUUGUAUGGUACAUGUAAAAUGAAAUUCUCUAUCAAGGCCUAUUUACAGUUUUACAACGAUUCAUAUAAAAUUAAAAAAAUGUAUGACCAGAUAACACUCAAAUCCCAUUUAUAUGGCGCGUCCAAACUCCAAUUUCGUAUACAUUUUAGUUCAUAAGUCUUACAAUGUUCGCUUUGAAAACAUUAAAAUAUAAAUCCUUUAUAUUUCAAUAUAUACUCGUGAAGUCCUUAAUAUUCAUUGUCCUCUAAAUAUAAUACAAUAAAAGUUAUUAAGCUUUUCAAAACGUCCGCACCAUAAAAACUAAUUUGUCUGGCCGUGUCUUUUCACGAACGCCACCAUUGAAGGGUUGAAUAUUUUUGAACUUGCGUUCGAGUUCAAUCAGGUCAGUCCACCGCCCGUCUGCCGGCAGAGUGCACCGUCCGCGUGCGAUUUGUGACGACGAUAAAUUGUGAUAGCAAGCAGAUAAUCUGGACUUUGUACGGCUGGUUUGGACACGUACUCAGGCGUACUGAAAACGUCCCAAAGGAAGCACUGACAUGGCAUCUCGAAGGCGGUAAACGAAGACUCGGCAGACCGCGAGUC